GGGUUGUGAGGUUAAGCGACUAAGCGUACACGGUGGAUGCCCUGGCAGUCAGAGGCGAUGAAGGACGUGCUAAUCUGCGAAAAGCGUCGGUAAGGUGAUAUGAACCGUUAUAACCGGCGAUGUCCGAAUGGGGAAACCCAGUGCAAUUCGUUGCACUAUCGUUAACUGAAUACAUAGGUUAACGAGGCGAACCGGGGGAACUGAAACAUCUAAGUACCCCGAGGAAAAGAAAUCAACCGAGAUUCCCCCAGUAGCGGCGAGCGAACGGGGAGCAGCCCAGAGUCUGAAUCAGCUUGUGUGUUAGUGGAACGGUCUGGAAAGUCCGACGGUACAGGGUGAUAGUCCCGUACACCAAAAUGCACAGGCUGUGAACUCGAAGAGUAGGGCGGGACACGUGGUAUCCUGUCUGAAUAUGGGGGGACCAUCCUCCAAGGCUAAAUACUCCUGACUGACCGAUAGUGAACCAGUACCGUGAGGGAAAGGCGAAAAGAACCCCGGCGAGGGGAGUGAAAAAGAACCUGAAACCGUGUACGUACAAGCAGUGGGAGCACCUUCGGGUGUGACUGCGUACCUUUUGUAUAAUGGGUCAGCGACUUAUAUUCUGUAGCAAGGUUAACCGUAUAGGGGAGCCGCAGGGAAACCGAGUCUUAACUGGGCGUUAAGUUGCAGGGUAUAGACCCGAAACCCGGUGAUCUAGCCAUGGGCAGGUUGAAGGUUGGGUAACACUAACUGGAGGACCGAACCGACUAAUGUUGAAAAAUUAGCGGAUGACUUGUGGCUGGGGGUGAAAGGCCAAUCAAACCGGGAGAUAGCUGGUUCUCCCCGAAAGCUAUUUAGGUAGCGCCUCGUGAACUCAUCUUCGGGGGUAGAGCACUGUUUCGGCUAGGGGGUCAUCCCGACUUACCAACCCGAUGCAAACUACGAAUACCGAAGAAUGUUAUCACGGGAGACACACGGCGGGUGCUAACGUCCGUCGUGAAGAGGGAAACAACCCAGACCGCCAGCUAAGGUCCCAAAGUCAUGGUUAAGUGGGAAACGAUGUGGGAAGGCACAGACAGCCAGGAUGUUGGCUUAGAAGCAGCCAUCAUUUAAAGAAAGCGUAAUAGCUCACUGGUCGAGUCGGCCUGCGCGGAAGAUGUAACGGGGCUAAACCAUGCACCGAAGCUGCGGCAGCGACACUAUGUGUUGUUGGGUAGGGGAGCGUUCUGUAAGCCUGCGAAGGUGACCUGUGAGGGUUGCUGGAGGUAUCAGAAGUGCGAAUGCUGACAUAAGUAACGAUAAAGCGGGUGAAAAGCCCGCUCGCCGGAAGACCAAGGGUUCCUGUCCAACGUUAAUCGGGGCAGGGUGAGUCGACCCCUAAGGCGAGGCCGAAAGGCGUAGUCGAUGGGAAACAGGUUAAUAUUCCUGUACUUGGUGUUACUGCGAAGGGGGGACGGAGAAGGCUAUGUUAGCCGGGCGACGGUUGUCCCGGUUUAAGCAUGUAGGCUGGUUGUCCAGGCAAAUCCGGAUAAUCAAGGCUGAGGUGUGAUGACGAGGCACUACGGUGCUGAAGUAACAAAUGCCCUGCUUCCAGGAAAAGCCUCUAAGCAUCAGGUAACAUCAAAUCGUACCCCAAACCGACACAGGUGGUCAGGUAGAGAAUACCAAGGCGCUUGAGAGAACUCGGGUGAAGGAACUAGGCAAAAUGGUGCCGUAACUUCGGGAGAAGGCACGCUGGUGUGUAGGUGAAGUCCCUGCGGAUGGAGCUGAGACCAGUCGAAGAUACCAGCUGGCUGCAACUGUUUAUUAAAAACACAGCACUGUGCAAACACGAAAGUGGACGUAUACGGUGUGACGCCUGCCCGGUGCCGGAAGGUUAAUUGAUGGGGUUAUCCGUAAGGAGAAGCUCUUGAUCGAAGCCCCGGUAAACGGCGGCCGUAACUAUAACGGUCCUAAGGUAGCGAAAUUCCUUGUCGGGUAAGUUCCGACCUGCACGAAUGGCGUAAUGAUGGCCAGGCUGUCUCCACCCGAGACUCAGUGAAAUUGAACUCGCUGUGAAGAUGCAGUGUACCCGCGGCAAGACGGAAAGACCCCGUGAACCUUUACUAUAGCUUGACACUGAACAUUGAGCCUUGAUGUGUAGGAUAGGUGGGAGGCUUUGAAGCGUGGACGCCAGUCUGCGUGGAGCCAACCUUGAAAUACCACCCUUUAAUGUUUGAUGUUCUAACGUUGGCCCCUUAUCGGGGUUGCGGACAGUGUCUGGUGGGUAGUUUGACUGGGGCGGUCUCCUCCCAAAGCGUAACGGAGGAGCACGAAGGUUAGCUAAUCCUGGUCGGACAUCAGGAGGUUAGUGCAAUGGCAUAAGCUAGCUUGACUGCGAGCGUGACGGCGCGAGCAGGUGCGAAAGCAGGUCAUAGUGAUCCGGUGGUUCUGAAUGGAAGGGCCAUCGCUCAACGGAUAAAAGGUACUCCGGGGAUAACAGGCUGAUACCGCCCAAGAGUUCAUAUCGACGGCGGUGUUUGGCACCUCGAUGUCGGCUCAUCACAUCCUGGGGCUGAAGUAGGUCCCAAGGGUAUGGCUGUUCGCCAUUUAAAGUGGUACGCGAGCUGGGUUUAGAACGUCGUGAGACAGUUCGGUCCCUAUCUGCCGUGGGCGCUGGAGAAUUGAGGGGGGCUGCUCCUAGUACGAGAGGACCGGAGUGGACGCAUCACUGGUGUUCGGGUUGUCAUGCCAAUGGCACUGCCCGGUAGCUAAAUGCGGAAGAGAUAAGUGCUGAAAGCAUCUAAGCACGAAACUUGCCCCGAGAUGAGUUCUCCCUGAGACUUUAAGUCUCCUGAAGGAACGUUAAAGACGAUGACGUUGAUAGGCCGGGUGUGUAAGCGCAGCGAUGCGUUGAGCUAACCGGUACUAAUGAACCGUGAGGCUUAACCUUACAACGCCGAAG
rnacentral:rRNA from 1 species